GGUCCCCCCCCCCCCAUCACCUUUAUUUUGAUGCUAUUUACUUAUGGAAGGAAUGAGGUCAUGCAACCCGUGGAGUUCCCCACUUUCAGAAUCUGGCUGGCUGACUUGUCCAUUGUGGUGUCAUUAAACACAUUCCUCCACCCCCUGUGAGUACUGCAGGUAAAGGCUGGACUAUUGUCUAUCUGUCCUGCAAUCUGCCUGACCAGCCACCCCACCAAAAAAGGAAGUAAAAAUGACAGAUGAGUCACCAUGAGCACUGGUGCUGAAGAAAAUACAGCCCUGAGCAGGACCACACCUCCCCCUCAUGGACUUAUUCCCAGGAAAGGGAAGCCAGAGAACAUACACAGGCCCACUGUGGAGCUUCCCCCAGGAAACAAAACGGACGGGAUGGAACUUCCGGUCAUCUCAUUAGGAAGCCCUGAGGCAGAGACUGCGCCAUCAGC